GCAGUGGUGGUUCAGUGGUAGAAUUCUUGACCUCUACACAGGAGAGCCAGGUUUGAUUCCCGGCCAUUGUG
rnacentral:tRNA from 1 species